rnacentral:rRNA from 1 species
AUUGAACGCUGGCGGCAGGCUUAACACAUGCAAGUCGAGCGGAGAUGAGGUGCUUGCACCUUAUCUUAGCGGCGGACGGGUGAGUAAUGCUUAGGAAUCUGCCUAUUAGUGGGGGACAACAUUCCGAAAGGAAUGCUAAUACCGCAUACGUCCUACGGGAGAAAGCAGGGGAUCUUCGGACCUUGCGCUAAUAGAUGAGCCUAAGUCGGAUUAGCUAGUUGGUGGGGUAAAGGCCUACCAAGGCGACGAUCUGUAGCGGGUCUGAGAGGAUGAUCAGCCACACUGGGACUGAGACACGGCACAGACUCAUACGGGAGGCAGCAGUGGGGAAUAUUGGACAAUGGGGGGAACCCUGAUCCAGCCAUGCCGCGUGUGUGAAGAAGGCCUUAUGGUUGUAAAGCACUUUAAGCGAGGAGGAGGCUACUGAGACUAAUACUCUUGGAUAGUGGACGUUACUCGCAGAAUAAGCACCGGCUAACUCUGUGCCAGCAGCCGCCGUAA